rnacentral:rRNA from 1 species
UACGUAGGGUGCAGGCGUUAAUCGGAAUUACUGGGCGUAAAGCGUGCGCAGGCGGUUUGCUAAGACAGGCGUGAAAUCCCCGGGCUUAACCUGGGAACUGCGCUUGUUACUGGCAGGCUUGAGUGUGGCAGAGGGGGGUGGAAUUCCACGUGUAGCAGUGAAAUGCGUAGAGAUGUGGAGGAACACCGAUGGCGAAGGCAGCCCCCUGGGCCAACACUGACGCUCAUGCACGAAAGCGUGGGGAGCAAACAGG